rnacentral:rRNA from 1 species
CCUACGGGCGGCAGCAGUGGGGAAUAUUGGACAAUGGGCGAAAGCCUGAUCCAGCCAUGCCGCGUGUGUGAAGAAGGCCUUCGGGUUGUAAAGCACUUUCAGUGGGGAAGAAAGCCUUGGGGCUAAUACCCUCGAGGAAGGACAUCACCCACAGAAGAAGCACCGGCUAACUCCGUGCCAGCAGCCGCGGUAAUACGGAGGGUGCGAGCGUUAAUCGGAAUUACUGGGCGUAAAGCGCGCGUAGGCGGUCUGAUAAGCCGGUUGUGAAAGCCCCGGGCUCAACCUGGGAACGGCAUCCGGAACUGUCAGGCUAGAGUGCAGGAGAGGAGGGUAGAAUUCCCGGUGUAGCGGUGAAAUGCGUAGAGAUCGGGAGGAAUACCAGUGGCGAAGGCGGCCUUCUGGACUGACACUGACGCUGAGGUGCGAAAGCGUGGGUAGCAAACAGGAUUAGAUACCCGAGUAGUC